GGGAAAUCGCUAAGUUGGUUAGAGUCCUGGUCCGUCACGCCAGAAGUCGCGGGUUCGAACCCC
rnacentral:tRNA from 2 species